UACGAAGGGGGCUAGCGUUGCUCGGAAUUACUGGGCGUAAAGGGCGCGUAGGCGGCACUGUUAGUCAGGCGUGAAAGUCCUGGGCUCAACCUGGGAACUGCGCUUGAUACGGCAGGGCUAGAGGAUGGAAGAGGGUCGCGGAAUUCCCAGUGGUAGAGGUGAAAUUCGUAGAUAUUGGGAAGAACACCGGUGGCGAAGGCGGCGACCUGGUCCAUUACUGA
rnacentral:rRNA from 1 species